CAUGCAUACAGCCCAGUCUAACGUACAGGAUCAAAAAGAGACCUUAUUUCGGCUGGCAAUUACCUUACCCGCUUGUUCAUUAUCUGACUCCUGCACUCCUCCCAAGUGUUCAAUGUUAACCAGAUGGCAAAGUUAACCAGACAGAGGAAAUCCACAUAAUUACUCUAGAUGAAGCCCCCUAACUGCGGAUUAGAAGGAAAAGAGAUGAAGGGUGCUGCACUAAUAAUAACAACCAUUUUCAACCAAGGCAGGAUUCUGGGCCUAGAAUCUUCAGUGACAAAUUACCAGGAGAGGAGGAGGGAAAUGAAGAGCUGGAGGCCUAGGGAGAUGGUGUGAGGAGAGGAGACUGUGCCUUUCCACUUCUUAAUAAUUAAUGUUCUCCUGCUGCUCUGAGUCUGCAUCACCAGUGAUUCAGUUUGAGUCAGACAUCCAACAACAACUGAGCAAAAGAAUCAUCUCAGAUCCAAGCAAUGGUGACGCGCAGAUAGAAGAGACUGAGGCCAACGACCAAAGCAAAGGACAGCAGAACUGACUGACACAGCUCAGAAAAUAUCCAAAGCUCUGUAUGCUCUGGAAAGGAAGACAAGAAAUGCUAAAGACUCUGGAUAUUGCUCUGUUUCUAUAAGGUCCCACCCAUAUACCAUCUCUUCUUUUGGAUUUCCUUUGGCAGGGUUCCCUUGUAUGGAAGUUCUCAGGAGAACAACACUCUCAGAGUCCCACUGUCUCAAAGAAUUCUUAAUGGACAGCUAUACUUGGCCCCAAGGUUUCAACCUCACACUGAAGAAAGUGACAUAAGAAAACACAAGUCCCAGUGCUAUCAGGGGCUAUCUGGAAAAGCUGCUUAAACAGCAAGUGAAAGAAGGCUCUCCCCUACCCCGUUCUAGACUCACCCUGAAGUUAUUUGAAGGAUCCUUGAGACUCUUUUGGAUUGCUGCUUGGAGAACAUUCCUGUAACUUGUCCCUGCUCCUUGAACUAUAAAAGCAGAAGGGAGGUACUGAGUUAAAACUUACAAAUUAUUAUCAAAUAAAUCUUCAAUAGUG